AAACCUCUGUCCAUAGCACCAUCCAGACACCCACCAGAAAACCACUUGGAAAAUCAGAGGCAAAGAUUGCACAUCUAGCACGCAGGUGUCACCACCACCAUCAAAACCCAACAACUGACAACUGACAAUCGACCACCGGCUCCACCAGCCCCACCGGCUUCAGCGAUGGAACACACUAGAAAGCACAUACAAGCCGAUUAAAAUAAAUCCAUCCCAAGCAACACAUCCACUGCUCCGAUCAAAA